CACAGACAGACACACAGACAGACACACAGACAGACACACAGACAGACAGACAGACAGAAACAAACCUAAACCUAAAAUAAUAUAUUAAUAUAUUCCAAAACCAAAGUUACAAAGUGCUUCAGUCAAGGCAGAAAAUUAAACCAAUUCCAGUAAUAUUAGAUUAAAAAAAAUUAAAAGACUAUACAUCCUAGUUCUAUCCCUGACUAAGUGUGAUAAAUUGAUGUUAAUGUAAAUAAAUGUAUUGCAAUGCUGUCAAUAAACUAAACCAAGAACCAGAUCUGAUACAAUCAGCUUCAGCUUUCAGAACUGAACAUAUUUGUAAAAGCUCUGAAUUGAAUGAAAUCCUACACAUUUUCUGUUAUUUCUUUACAUAACUUGUGCAGCCAGGACAUCACAUGUCAUCAUUUCAUUUGAAGCUAAUCUGUGAAACUUGGCUGCUUUUCAUGAAUCUAACACUUGUGUGAGCUAAAAAUGUCACGAAAAGAGAUGACAACUUUUCAUUAUGUAGGCCAAUCCUCCCUGUAUGCAGCUUUUGUCUUGAACAACAAGACAAAACAUUUCAAUCUUUUUCCCACCACUUUUACUCAGUGGAGUGACUCCAUAAAACACUGCAGCUGCCGUCAGUCAGAGCAGAUAUUAGAGGUGCAGCUCACACAAAAAUGGCCCCCUCUCUUUCUCUCAAUGUCACAUAAACUGUGUGAUGGCCUUGCUGUUAAAUGGAGUAGAAUUGAUUUUACGCAGCGAGCAGCAAGGCGGCAAGCAUCCACAGACAUCUGAAGGCCCCCCCCCAAAAAAAAAAAAUGAUUAUAGUUAUAUAAGUUUCCCUCCCACUCCCUCUCCACCAUCAGCAGGGGUGUUGUCAUAGCAACCCCCUCCCCUCCUCUUAAACGUCAGAGCCAGGAGCUCAGAGGAUGAAGCCGCAUGCAGCUUCUGUCUCUUGUGCCUCUCAGAGAACAUCACCUGUGAUUUUCCCCGUCUCACAUGCAACAGUCGGGGCUGCGGCGCUGGAAAUAAUCUGAUGUUUGAUUUGACUCGCGGCUGACGCACAUCACAUACAAUCUAAAGACCAAGAGAGCAGCUGAUUCAGCAGCGUCUGCAGCAGUGAUGUCGUGGCUUUUCUUGGACUGGUUCGUCCCCCUCUACCUGCUGGUGUCAGUUUUGGUGCUGGCAGGCUUCGGAGCAUGCCUUUACUUCCUCGAGCCAGGGCUGCAGGAUGCCCACAAGUGGAGCAACAAAACAGUCCGGCAUCACCCGCUGGUGGCCAGUGUGAACUGCAUGGAUGACGAUAGCAAUGCCCUGAUAUGAUCAAGAGGGCGAGGCGGAACGGGGCGGGAGGCCAUCUGGACAGCAGGGUGCUGCCAGGACACCGGUGGGAAGGGGAGCCAACACCUUAAAGAUGGAGAAAAAAAAUGGAAGAGGAGGAGGAGAAAGACGGAGGAGAGAUCGCCCUGUCCUAUCAUUCCAACUUUUCUCUGAUCUCUAAUUCACUUUAUGUAGAGAUCAGGGGAAAGUGAAGCAGAGGGAGAAUGCACAAGGAGGAGAAGACUUCAUGCAGGACGAGAUUGCGUGGAGGACAUGUUGCCCUUUAGAAAUGUGAUUAAAACAUGAUGUAAAUUUCACGCCAUCUUAUACUUGUGCCAACUUUUACAUACGUUUUGUAAUUUGACAAUCAUUUUACAUAAAUCAUGAAGUUUACUUACUAUAUUGUGCAUUUAAUUAGUGAAAUGAAUGAUGUAAGUGCAAUGAAUUUGUUGCCGGCAGGAGGGUGUUUAAUCUUCUCUUUGGUGAUGGCAGCAGCUGCUGAGAAGCAUGUGGAUUGUUAGAGCCAAUGUGCCAAAAUGGUUUUAGUAGUCACUUUAUUAAGAAAAAUAUGCAUUGAAUAAAUGCUUACUGAUAUAUUCAAGGUGCCAAGUUUAUCUAAGAUAGACCAAGAUUACAGAAAACAACAAUUUGGUAAUGCGCAAAGUGUAUUUUUGUUUUUGUUUUCAUUGUUUUUACUUGACAGCAUGGUGAGGAAACUGUGGGUGUGUAGCAACCCUCUUUUGAUGAUCAUAUGCUUCCUUUGUUCAUAAAAAAUAAAACGGUUCAAUCCUCAAUUA